ensembl:lncRNA
AGGUGAUGAGUCCAUGUGAUGAGUCCAUGUGAACAGUGUAAGAGGUGAUGAGUCCAGGUGAACAGUAAGAGGUGAUGAGUCCAGGUGAACAGUGUAAGAGGUGAUGAGUCCAGGUGAACAGUGUAAGAGGUGAUGAGUCCAUGUGAACAGUGUAAGAGGUGAUGAGUCCAGGUGAACAGUAAGAGGUGAUGAGUCCAGGUGAACAGUGUAAGAGGUGAUGAGUCCAUGUGAACAGUAAGAGGUGAUGAGUCCAUGUGAACAGUGUAAGAGGUGAUGAGUCCAUGUGAUGAGUCCAUGUGAACAGUGUAAGAUGUGAUGAGUCCAUGUGAACAGUGUAAGAGGUGAUGAGUCCAUGUGAUGAGUCCAUGUGAACAGUGUAAGAGGUGAUGAGUCCAUGUGAACAGUGUAAGAGGUGAUGAGUCCAUGUGAACAGUGUAAGAGGUGAUGAGUCCAGGUGAACAGUGUAAGAGGUGAUGAGUCCAUGUGAACAGUAAGAGGUGAUGAGUCCAUGUGAUGAGUCCAUGUGAACAGUAAGAGGUGAUGAGUCCAUGUGAACAGUGUAAGAGGUGAUGAGUCCAUGUGAUGAGUCCAUGUGAACAGUAAGAGGUGAUGAGUCCAUGUGAACAGUGUAAGAGGUGAUGAGUCCAUGUGAUGAGUCCAUGUGAACAGUAAGAGGUGAUGCGUCCAUGUGAUGAGUCCAUGUGAACAGUUAGAGGUGAUGAGUCCAUGUGAACAGUGUAAGAGGUGAUGAGUCCAUGUGAACAGUAAGAGGUGAUGAGUCCAUGUGAACAGUAAGAGGUGAUGAGUCCAUGUGAACAGUAAGAGGUGAUGAGUCCAUGUGAUGAGUCCAUGUGAACAGUAAGAGGUGAUGAGUCCAU